rnacentral:lncRNA from 1 species
CCCCAAAAAUAACAUAUUGCCGUAAUGGCUUACACCCUUAUUUUAAAAAAUUAACUAGAAUUUAGAUAAUUAAUAAACCAAAAAGAUAAUGACAAAAAUUAAAAGCCAUAAUAUUCAUAAUUCAACCAAAAUAAAUGGAAUUAAAAUUCAAUUUUAUUUAAUAAAAGCUCAAUCUUCACAAUGCUCCUCCGAUUGAUCUAGAUUUGUCAUCUUGCAUUGUGUUCUUCAUCCAACACCCUAGUAAUGAAGUAUUUUACUUGCUCUCUAUAAAAAUAAACUUUGUAAUUAUAUAUGGACCUAAAUGUUCUAAAUUAAAUAAUAAUUAGUGAAUGAUCAUUGUAUCCCUAUGGUCCAAAUUAUUAUAACAAUUAUUCCUUGCACCUUUAUUUUUUUAACAUAAAUAUAGAAAUUUAAUUCUCAAUAAAAUAUGCACAUAAGGGAAAUAGAAAUAGGACAAAAUUCCUAGCCAUUUCUACCAUUUGUUCUCAUCAUACCACUUUGCCACCUAAUUCGUGAUGCAUGACGAGAUUCCUUUACCACUCUAUAAAUGGCUGGGUGAAUUCUCGUCGAGGGCAAAUAGGCUUUUUUAGUUUUGUUUCAUCAAAAGUUGUCAUUGAAGAGGCUAAUGCUGCUGCUCAGCUUAAAAGAAUUUCCUUUUAUUCACGCAAGCAUUCCCACCUUAGUCACCGAUUUCUAAGGAGGAUUGACAAAUCAAAUUUGGCCUUGACAUGAUGGAUGAGUUAGAGAAUUAAUUGAGUUCAUAAGGAAAAUCUUCUUUUCAUUUAAAGAAAAUGUAAGUAUUCUCUCAACUUUGAGUUAUAAAACAAAGUGGUAAAUAUUUUUUUAGUUAUACCGAUUGAUAGGGCUCUUGGCAAUAUUACAAAAAAUAUUGUAUUACUAGAAAAUUCUACUUGUACAUAAUUAUUACACAUAAUUGUGUCCAUAAUAUGAUGUGGCAAUUAUCUGAUUGUUGAUGUGCAAGUGUGAGAUUUGUAUUAAAGGUUACAUCCAAUGCCACAUGUAAUUCUGAAUAUCAUUAAGUAAACAAUUAUGUACAUGUAACACUUCCCUUGUAUUACUACUCUUGAAAUAGUAUAAAUAUAAAAUCAAUAUUCAAGAAGAAAUUAUUAUUUAAAAAACAUUUAUUUC